rnacentral:rRNA from 1 species
UUUCCGGUUGAUCCCGCCGCCGGCCACUGCUAUCAGGUUUCGAUUAAGCCAUGCGAGUCAAGGGGUCGCAAGACACCGGCGAACCGCUCAGUAACACGCGGACAAUCUAACCUAAGAUGGGGUAUAGCCUCGGGAAACUGAGGGUAAUUCUCCAUAGUCAUCAUAUGUUGGAAUACUGUGAUGAUGAAAGCCUCGGCGUCUUAGGAUGGGUCUGCGGCCUAUCAGGCUGUAUGCGGUGUAAAGGACCACAUAACCGAAGACGGGUACGGGCCUUGAGAGAGGAAGCCCGGAGAUGGACUCUGAGACACUAGUCCAGGCCCUACGGGGCGCAGCAGGCGCGAAACUUGUGCAAUGCGCGAAAGCGCGACACAGGAAACCUGAGUGCCUUGACAAUGUCAAGGCUUUUCUUAAGCUUAAAAAGCUCAAGGAAUAAGGGCUGGGUAAGACGGGUGCCAGCCGCCGCGGUAACACCCGCAGCCCAAGUGGUGGUCAUGAUUAUUGAGUCUAAAGCGUUCGUAGCCGGUUUCGUAAAUCUUUAGAUAAAUCCUUCCGCUCAACGGAAGGACUUCUGAAGAGACUGCGAAGCUAGGGAAUGGGUGAGGUCGAAUGUACUUCUGGGGUAGGGGUAAAAUCCUGUAAUCCUGGAAGGACAACCAGUGGCGAAGGCGUUCAACUAGAACAUGUCCGACGGUGAGGAACGAAGGCUAAGGGAGCAAACCGGAUUAGAUACCCGGGUAGUCUUAGCUGUAAACACUGCCCACUUGGUGUUGCCUCUCCGUUGAGGGGGGGCAGUGCCGGAGCGAAGGUGUUAAGUGGGCCACUUGGGGAGUAUGGUCGCAAGGCUGAAACUUAAAGGAAUUGGCGGGGGAGCACCGCAACGGGAGGAGCGUGCGGUUUAAUUGGAUUCAACGCCGGA